UACGUAGGGUGCAAGCGUUGUCCGGAAUUAUUGGGCGUAAAGCGCGUGUAGGCGGCUUUGCAAGUCGGGUGUGAAAUCCCUCAGCUCAACUGAGGAAGUGCGCCCGAAACUGCAGAGCUUGAGUACCGGAGAGGAUGGCGGAAUUCCCCAAGUAGAGGUGAAAUUCGUAGAUAUGGGGAGGAACACCGGUGGCGAAGGCGGCCAUCUGGACGGAUACUGACGCUGAGACGCGAAAGCGUGGGUAGCAAACAGG
rnacentral:rRNA from 1 species